CCUACGGGAGGCAGCAGUGAGGAAUAUUGGUCAAUGGCCGCAGGGCUGAACCAGCCAAGUCGCGUGAGGGAUGACGGUCCUAUGGAUUGUAAACCUCUUUUGUCAGGGAGCAAAGGGCGCCACGUGUGGCGUUUUGCGAGUACCUGAAGAAAAAGCAUCGGCUAACUCCGUGCCAGCAGCCGCGGUAAUACGGAGGAUGCGAGCGUUAUCCGGAUUUAUUGGGUCUAAAGGGUGCGCAGGCGGAAUGUCAAGUCAGCGGUAAAAUUUCGGGGCUCAACCCCGUCGUGCCGUUGAAACUGGCGGUCUUGAGUGAGCGAGAAGUAUGCGGAAUGCGUGGUGUAGCGGUGAAAUGCAUAGAUAUCACGCAGAACUCCGAUUGCGAAGGCAGCAUACCGGCGCUCAACUGACGCUCAUGCACGAAAGCGUGGGUAUCGAACAGGAUUAGAUACCCCAGUAGUC
rnacentral:rRNA from 1 species